rnacentral:rRNA from 1 species
UAGGGAAUCUUCCACAAUGGACGCAAGUCUGAUGGAGCAACGCCGCGUGAGUGAAGAAGGUUUUCGGAUCGUAAAGCUCUGUUGUUGGUGAAGAAGGAUAGAGGCAGUAACUGGUCUUUUUUGACGGUAAUCAACCAGAAAGUCACGGCUAACUACGUGCCAGCAGCCGCGGUAAUACGUAGGUGGCAAGCGUUGUCCGGAUUUAUUGGGCGUAAAGCGAGCGCAGGCGGAAUGAUAAGUCUGAUGUGAAAGCCCACGGCUCAACCGUGGAACUGCAUCGGAAACUGUCAUUCUUGAGUGCAGAAGAGGAGAGUGGAAUUCCAUGUGUAGCGGUGGAAUGCGUAGAUAUAUGGAAGAACACCAGUGGCGAAGGCGGCUCUCUGGUCUGCAACUGACGCUGAGGCUCGAAAGCAUGGGUAGCGAACAGG